UACGUAGGGACCGAGCGUUGUCCGGAAUCAUUGGGCGUAAAGAGCGUGUAGGCGGCCACUUAAGUCCUGCGUGAAAUCUUGCGGCUCAACCGCAAGCGGUCGUGGGAGACUGGAAGGCUCGAAUCCGGGAGAGGGAUGUGGAAUUCCAGGUGUAGCGGUGAAAUGCGUAGAUAUCUGGAGGAACAUCGGUGGCGAAGGCGGCAUCCUGGACCGGUAUUGACGCUGAGGCGCGAAAGCCAGGGGAGCAAACGGG
rnacentral:rRNA from 1 species